rnacentral:rRNA from 1 species
AGAACGAACGCUGGCGGCGUGGAUAAGACAUGCAAGUCGAACGCGACUUAUUUUGUUAGCAAUAACGAAGUAAGUUGAGUGGCGAAAGGGUGCGUAACACGUGGGAAUUUACCAAAAAGUGGGGAAUAGCCUGGCGAAAGCCAAAUUAAUACCGCAUGUGAUCGAAAGAUCAAAGCCGGGGACCGCAAGGCCUGGCGCUUUUUGAGAAGCCCGCGGCCCAUCAGCUAGUUGGCGAGGUAAAAGCUCACCAAGGCUAUGACGGGUAGCUGGUCUGAGAGGACGACCAGCCACACUGGAACUGAGACACGGUCCAGACACCUACGGGUGGCAGCAGUCGAGAAUUUUUUCACAAUGGACGAAAGUCUGAUGGAGCGACGCCGCGUGGAGGAUGAAGGUUUUCGGAUUGUAAACUCCUGUCACUGCAGAACAAGGCCGUGUGUAUGAAUAGUACAUGCAGUU